UACGUAGGGUGCAAGCGUUAAUCGGAAUUACUGGGCGUAAAGCGUGCGCAGGCGGUCUGUUAAGACCGAUGUGAAAUCCCCGGGCUUAACCUGGGAACUGCAUUGGUGACUGGCAGGCUUUGAGUGUGGCAGAGGGAGGUAGAAUUCCACGUGUAGCAGUGAAAUGCGUAGAGAUGUGGAGGAAUACCGAUGGCGAAGGCAGCCUCCUGGGCCAACACUGACGCUCAUGCACGAAAGCGUGGGGAGCAAACAGG
rnacentral:rRNA from 1 species